rnacentral:rRNA from 1 species
CCCUUAGAUGUCCUGGGCCGCACGCGUGCUACACUGACGCAUACAGCGAGCACUUUCCAGUUCCGAGAGGCUACUGGUAAUCAUCAAUAUGCGUCGUGAUGGGGAUAGAUCUUUGGAAUUCUGGAUCUUGAACGAGGAAUGCCUAGUAAUCGCAGGUCAUUAGCCUGCGAUGAUUAAGUCCCUGCCCUUUGUACACACCGCCCGUCGCUCCUACCGAUUGAAUGGUCCGGUGAAGCGUUCGGACCGUGGCCUUUGGACGGUUCGCCGUCUGUUGGCUGCGGGAAGUUCGUUAAACCUUAUCAUUUAGAGGAAGGAGAAGUCGUAACA